CCCGCACUAGAUUAGCUAGUUGGUGAGGUAAUUGCUCCACCAAGGCUACGAUCUAUAGCUGAUUUGAGAGGAUGAUCAGCCACACUGGGACUGAGACACGGCCCAGACUCCUACGGGAGGCAGCAGUAGGGAAUAUUGGACAAUGGGGGAAACCCUGAUCCAGCAAUGCCGCGUGAGUGAAGAAGGCCUUCGGGUUGUAAAGCUCUUUCAUCAAUGAUGAUAAUGACAUUAGUUGAAGAAGAAGCCCCGGCUAACUUCGUGCCAGCAGCCGCGGUAAUACGAAGGGGGCUAGCGUUGUUCGGAAUCACUGGGCGUAAAGCGUAUGUAGGCGGAUCAAAAAGUUAGAUGUGAAAUCCCUGGGCUCAACCCAGGAACUGCAUUUAAAACUAGUGAUCUAGAAUUUGGUAGGGGCCAGUAGAAUUUCCAGUGUAUGUUGAGGUGAAAUUCGUAGAUAUUGGAAAGAAUACCAGUGGCGAAGGCGACUGGCUGGGCCAAUUUUGACGCUGAGAUACGAAAGCGUGGGUAGCAAACAGGAUUAGAUACCCUGGUAGUCCACGCAGUAAACGAUGAGUGCUAGUCGCUGGGACAAUAGUUUCAGUGUCGAAGCUAACGCAUUAAGCACUCCGCCUGGGAAGUACGGUCGCAAGAUUA
rnacentral:rRNA from 1 species